rnacentral:rRNA from 1 species
GUGCUGUGAGCUCGAUGAGUAGGGCGGGACACGUGGUAUCCUGUCUGAAUAUGGGGGGACCAUCCUCCAAGGCUAAAUACUCCUGACUGACCGAUAGUGAACCAGUACCGUGAGGGAAAGGCGAAAAGAACCCCGGCGAGGGGAGUGAAAAAGAACCUGAAACCGUGUACGUACAAGCAGUGGGAGCACAGGUUUACCUGUGUGACUGCGUACCUUUUGUAUAAUGGGUCAGCGACUUAUAUUCUGUAGCAAGGUUAACCGUAUAGGGGAGCCGGAGGGAAACCGAGUCUUAAUUGGGCGUUAAGUUGCAGGGUAUAGACCCGAAACCCGGUGAUCUAGCCAUGGGCAGGUUGAAGGUUGGGUAACACUAACUGGAGGACCGAACCGACUAAUGUUGAAAAAUUAGCGGAUGACCUGUGGCUGGGGGUGAAAGGCCAAUCAAACCGGGAGAUAGCUGGUUCUCCCCGAAAGCUAUUUAGGUAGCGCCUCGUGAAUUCAUCUCCGGGGGUAGAGCACUGUUUCGGCUAGGGGGCCAUCCCGGCUUACCAACCCGAUGCAAACUGCGAAUACCGGAGAAUGUUAUCACGGGAGACACACGGCGGGUGCUAACGUCCGUCGUGAAGAGGGAAACAACCCAGACCGCCAGCUAAGGUCCCAAAGUCAUGGUUAAGUGGGAAACGAUGUGGGAAGGCCCAGACAGCCAGGAUGUUGGCUUAGAAGCAGCCAUCAUUUAAAGAAAGCGUAAUAGCUCACUGGUCGAGUCGGCCUGCGCGGAAGAUGUAACGGGGCUAAACCAUGCACCGAAGCUGCGGCAGCGAACGUAUCACCCAAGACAACUUUACGGAGUUGACGAUUGACGGAGCGAAGCGACGUCAAAGCGUUCAUUAAAGUCGAGUUGGCUUAGGGAUACGUUCGUUGGGUAGGGGAGCGUUCUGUAAGCCUGUGAAGGUGUGUCGUGAGGCAUGCUGGAGGUAUCAGAAGUGCGAAUGCUGACAUAAGUAACGAUAAAGCGGGUGAAAAGCCCGCUCGCCGGAAGACCAAGGGUUCCUGUCCAACGUUAAUCGGGGCAGGGUGAGUCGACCCCUAAGGCGAGGCCGAAAGGCGUAGUCGAUGGGAAACGGGUUAAUAUUCCCGUACUUGGUGUUACUGCGAAGGGGGGACGGAGAAGGCUAUGUUGGCCGGGCGACGGUUGUCCCGGUUUAAGCGUGUAGGUGUGUGUUCCAGGUAAAUCCGGUUCACUUUAACACUGAGGCGUGACGACGAGGCACUACGGUGCUGAAGCAACAAAUGCCCUGCUUCCAGGAAAA